UAUAGAUAUAGACUAGCAUAGCGCACGAGUGUUGCUAUGGUUAAUAUAAUAGAGUUAAUAUAAUAGAUCCACUUAACAUAUGGUUAAUAUAAUAGAGUUAAUAUAAUAGAUCCACGUAACAUCUUUGUGUUCAUUCACUUAAUGUAUAUACUGUGCCGUGACUGUACGAGAUAUUGAUUGUCCGCGUUCUGAUUGAGAUUCAGAUUGAUUUGUUCGACUUCUGAUUAGGAUUCGGAUUGAUUUGUCCGGACUCCAAUUAAGAUUUUGAUUGAUGAACCAAGAAAAUAUUGCUUGCUUUUUUAGAAACUAGAAAUUAUGCACAUGCGUUGCUACAGACAGAGUUGAUAUAAGUAUCGGAUACGUAUAAUAGUUGUUUAUGGAGGGCUGGCCCGACUUGCAUACAAGAUGGACUAAGGCCCCACCUGUCAAUGACACAAGAUGAACCAUACCAAAAAUUCAGGUGGAAACCUUGCUUUAGAAAUAUGUAUAGAUAGGCUAUUAUACCCGUGCAUUGUUAUGGACAGAGUCGGUAUAAGUAUCGGAUACGUAUUGAGAUCUACGUGAUCGAGUUGUGGACGGAGGACUUAUCCGACUCGUAUACGGACAAGAUGGACCAAACUAAAAAUUUAAGUGAAAACUUUACUCGCUUUAGAAAUGAUACAGAUAUAAAUAUAGAUUACUAGCAUAGUACUUGUGCAUUGCUUUAGUAUAAUAGAUCUAUGUAAUACCUUAUGUUUAUUUAUUUCAUGUAAGGUUGUGUCGUAAUUAUGCGAGAUUUUGAUUGUUUGUAUUCCGAUUUGGGGUUCUGAUUAAUUUGUCCACCUUUCCGAUUAGGAUUCGGAUUGAUUUGUCCAAACUUCGAUUAGGACUCUAAUUGUUUGACCAAAAGGGAAUAUUGCUUGCUUUAUUUUAAAAAUAUUAGACUAAUAUAGUACUUGUGCGUUGUUACAAUAUUAUAAUAGAUCGAUAUAAUACAUCAAUUUUGUGUUCAUUUACUUAAUUUACUAGUCGUUCAGUGAUUGUACGAGAUAUUGAUCGUCUGUGUUCCGAUUGAGAUUCAAAUUGAUUUAUCCGGGUUCCGAUUAGGAUUCAGAUUGAUUGGUCUCAAAACUGAUUAGGAUUCCGAUCAACGGACAAAAAAAUUAUUUGCUUUAGAAAUAGUAGGAAAAAGUAUACUUAACCCCGUGAACUAGGAAGAGUGAACUACAUCACCCUCCAAGUACAAAACUAGAUAUUUUACACCCUAAAGUAGAUGAAACCAGUUAAAAUCCCCUCAAGGCUGUUUUGCAGGUUGGUUUUGCACUGCUGGUAUGCUAAGCUGGACAUACCUCCACGUUGCCCCCUUGGCCCACUUGUCAAGGUCAUUAUUGGGCCUCCUCUAUAGGCGGAAGAGGAGAUGAAUCGUCUCGUCCCCUCCAUGCAUAAGUGACUGCGCCUCCUCGCUCCUUCCGCUCGGCUUUGCCUCCGGCAUAUGUUUGACAAGCAUGUGUUUGAGAGGUUCUAUGUCUGCCUUGAUGCAUGCAGAAAAGGAUUUCUUACUGGUUGUAGAAGAGUUAUUGGAUUAGAUGGUUGCUGGUUCAAGGGUGCUAACAAUGGUGAACUAUUGUGUGCCAUAGGAAGAGAUGCCAAUAAUCAGAUUAUACCAUAUUGCCUGGCUAGCAGAAAGAGACAUAUUACUCAUGGUACUGGUUUCUUGUAUUGGUACAGAAGGACUUGAACAUUAAUGCUAGAGGUGAAGGAUGGGUAUUGAUCUCUGACCAACAGAAGGGUCUAUUGAAGGCAUUUCAGGAGCUGAUUCCCAAUGCAGAGCAUAGGAUGCGUGCAAGGCACAUCUAUGCAAACUAGAGGAAGAAGCAAACAGACUAUGAACUACAGAAGAAGUUCUGGUACUGUGCAAAAUCACCAAAUGUAGAGCAACUCAACUACAAUUGAGCAAAGUUGGCACAUGAUAUUUGGAUCUAGGGACAUGAUGAACACUUCACCUAAGCAUUGGAGUAGGGCAUUCUUCAAGCUAGGUUUGAUUGUGAUUUUGUUGAUAACAAUAUGUGUAAGAGUUUUAAUAACUCAUCAUGGACGCAAGGUUCUUUCCUAUUAUUUCUAUGCAUGAGGCAAUAAGAUGCAAGGUCAUGGUGAGGAUUCAAGAACAGAGGACAAAGGUAGAGAGGUGGCAGGGAAUAAUCUACCCAAACAUUUUCAAGAAGCUAAAACUCAAUAUUGUGAGGUCUGGAAAGUGUUUUGCCAUGUGAUGGUGCAAAUGGUUUUUAGGUCAGGGAGAAUGAUAGGAGGAGGUACACAGUGAAUUUGGAGCAGAGAACAUGUAGCUACAGGUACUGGCAACUCUCAGGUAUGCCAUUUUUCAUGCUAUCAGUGUAAUCUAUUCAUGUUCAAGGAAAUUGGAUGACUACAUAGCACCAUGUUUUUCAAUCAUAGAGUAUAGAAAGAUCUAUCAGCAUUGCUUGCAACCUGUUGAAGUUCAAGAGAGGUGGCAAGUUUCUGAUAUGCCAAGGCCACAUCCUCCUGCUUAUGUCAGGAUGCUUGGAAGGCCCAAAACUCAGAGGACAAGGGAGGUGGAUGAAGCACCAAAAGGAACAAAAAAUGAACAGGAAGGGCACCAAAAUGAAGUGCAAUUUGUGUCACAAAACAACACACAAUGCAAGAAGAUGUCCUCUUAAUCAUAAGGCAGGAGAGAAGAAGAAUGCCUACAUCAAAAGAGAUGCUACUAGUAAGAGGAAAGCAAGUGAGGCAGGAACAUCAAACAUAGAGGGACCAAUGGGCACACAACAAAGUACCACCUCUCAAGCUUGGCAAACCAGCAGCAUUCAAGGUUGGCAAAGCAACAACACUCAACAAAUUGCUACUUCAGCUGCUCGGCCAGUCCAUAAUCAGCCACCAAGGAAGAGGACAGCAUGACAUACUUCUAGGCUAUCAUACCUGCUGUUUGGAGACAACUAAUGAACUGCUUCUGUGUUGCAUCAGGCUUUUUAUGUUCAGCGCUUUUGUUUGUAAAUAUGACUGUUGAACCAUUUAUUAGCUGGUGAACAUGUUUGUUUGUAAAUAUGGUUCAUGAACCAUGUACUAACUGUUGAACAUGUAUGGA